rnacentral:misc_RNA from 1 species
UCCGGUUUGUCACCGGCAGUCUCAUUAGAGUGCCCAACUAAAUGUAGCAACUAAUGACAAGGGUUGCGCUCGUUGCGGGACUUAACCCAACAUCUCACGACACGAGCUGACGACAGCCAUGCAGCACCUGUGUUCAGGUUCCCUUUCGGGCACCACCGCAUCUCUGCGGCGUUCCUGACAUGUCAAGGGUAGGUAAGGUGGGGAUGACGUAAGUGACCUUUGC